UACGUAGGGACCAAGCGUUGUUCGGAUUUACUGGGCGUAAAGGGCGCGUAGGCGGCUUAACAAGUCACUUGUGAAAUCUCCGGGCUUAACUCGGAACGGCCAAGUGAAACUGUCAAGCUAGAGUGCAGAAGGGGCAAUCGGAAUUCUUGGUGUAGCGGUGAAAUGCGUAGAUAUCGGGAGGAACACCUGAGGCGAAGGCGGGCUACUGGGCCGAUACUGACGCUGAUGCGCGAAAGCCAGGGGAGCGAACGGG
rnacentral:rRNA from 1 species